rnacentral:rRNA from 2 species
UGAGGAAUAUUGGUCAAUGGACGAGAGUCUGAACCAGCCAAGUAGCGUGAAGGACGAAGGCCCUACGGGUCGUAAACUUCUUUUAUAGGGGAAUAAAGUGGAGAACGUGUUCUCCUUUGUAUGUACCCUACGAAUAAGGAUCGGCUAACUCCGUGCCAGCAGCCGCGGUAAUACGGAGGAUCCAAGCGUUAUCCGGAUUUAUUGGGUUUAAAGGGAGCGUAGGUGGACGUAUAAGUCAGUUGUGAAAGUUUGCGGCUCAACCGUAAAAUUGCAGUUGAUACUGUAUGUCUUGGGUGUACAAGAGGUGAGCGGAAUUCGUGGUGUAGCGGUGAAAUGCUUAGAUAUCACGAGGAACUCCGAUUGCGAAGGCAGCUCACUGGGGUACAACUGACACUGAGGCUCGAAAGUGUGGGUAUCAAACAGG